rnacentral:rRNA from 1 species
UGGGGAAUUUUGGACAAUGGGGGAAACCCUGAUCCAGCCAUCCCGCGUGUGCGAUGAAGGCCUUCGGGUUGUAAAGCACUUUUGGCAGGAAAGAAACGUCGCGGGUUAAUACCCCGCGAAACUGACGGUACCUGCAGAAUAAGCACCGGCUAACUACGUGCCAGCAGCCGCGGUAAUACGUAGGGUGCAAGCGUUAAUCGGAAUUACUGGGCGUAAAGCGUGCGCAGGCAGUUCGGAAAGAAAGAUGUGAAAUCCCAGAGCUUAACUUUGGAACUGCAUUUUUAACUACCGGGCUAGAGUGUGUCAGAGGGAGGUGGAAUUCCGCGUGUAGCAGUGAAAUGCGUAGAUAUGCGGAGGAACACCGAUGGCGAAGGCAGCCUCCUGGGAUAACACUGACGCUCAUGCACGAAAGCGUGGGGAGCAAACAGGAUUAGAUACCCUGGUAGUCCACGCCCUAAACGAUGUCAACUAGCUGUUGGGGCCUUCGGGCCUUGGUAGCGCAGCUAACGCGUGAAGUUGGCCGCCU